GACGAACGCUGGCGGCGUGCCUAAUACAUGCAAGUCGAGCGGACUUUCAAGAAGCUUGCUUUUUGAAAGUUAGCGGCGGACGGGUGAGUAACACGUGGGCAACCUGCCUGCAAGACGGGGAUAACUCCGGGAAACCGGGGCUAAUACCGGAUAAUAUCUUCCUUCGCAUGAAGGAAGGUUGAAAGGCGGCGCAAGCUGCCGCUUGCAGAUGGGCCCGCGGCGCAUUAGCUAGUUGGUGAGGUAACGGCUCACCAAGGCGACGAUGCGUAGCCGACCUGAGAGGGUGAUCGGCCACACUGGGACGGAGACACGGCCCAGACUCCUACGGGAGGCAGCAGUCGGGAAUCUUCCGCAAUGGCCGAAAGGCUGACGGUGCAACGCCGCGUGAGCGAAGAAGGUCUUCGGAUCGUAAAGCUCUGUUGUCAGGGAAGAACAAGUACCGUUCGAACAGGGCGGUACCUUGACGGUACCUGACCAGAAAGCCACGGCUAACUCCGUG
rnacentral:rRNA from 1 species